CGGUGUUCAACUGGCGUGUCCGCGGGACGUCCUGCCGGUGGGCUUAGCCCGCAAGGGCGGCCCAACUUCAAAUCCCAUCGCGGUGCCCUUCACUGAGUGUCGAGGUGGGCCGGCACGUUUACUUUGAACAAAUUAGAGUGCUUAAAGCAGGCUAAAACUUCGCCUGAAUACUGUGUGCAUGGAAUAAUGGAAUAGGACCUCGGUUCUAUUUUGUUGGUUUUCGGAACCCCGAGGUAAUGAUUAAUAGGAACGGAUGGGGGCAUUCGUAUUGCGACGUUAGAGGUGAAAUUCUUGGAUCGUCGCAAGACGGACAGAAGCGAAAGCAUUUGCCAAAAACGCUUUCAUUGAUCAAGAACGAAAGUUAGAGGUUCGAAGGCGAUCAGAUACCGCCCUAGUUCUAACCAUAAACGAUGCCAGCUAGCGAUCCGUCGACGUUCCUCCGAUGACUCGACGGGCAGCUUCCGGGAAACCAAAGCUUUUGGGUUCCGGGGGAAGUAUGGUUGCAAAGCUGAAACUUAAAGGAAUUGACGGAAGGGCACCACCAGGAGUGGAGCCUGCGGCUUAAUUUGACUCAACACGGGAAACCUCACCAGGCCCGGACACCGGAAGGAUUGACAGAUUGAGAGCUCUUUCUUGAUUCGGUGGGUGGUGGUGCAUGGCCGUUCUUAGUUGGUGGAGCGAUUUGUCUGGUUAAUUCCGAUAACGAACGAGACUCUAGCCUGCUAACUAGGCGUAUUUUCGACAUCUCAAAGGUCCGUCGUCCCGGCCCUCGGGUCGUGGGCGUGCGCGAUUUUUACUGUCGGCGUACUAUCAAUUCUUCUUAGAGGGACAGGUGGCUUCUAGCCGCACGAGAUUGAGCAAUAACAGGUCUGUGAUG
rnacentral:rRNA from 1 species